rnacentral:tRNA from 1 species
GCGGGGGUGGUCGAGCGGUCAAAGGCGCUAGGUUGAGGGCCUAGUGGGUUAGUCCCUUCGCGGGUUCAAGUCCCGUCCCCCGCACCA